rnacentral:tRNA from 2 species
GGAGAGGUGGCAGAGUGGUCGAAUGUACCUGACUCGAAAUCAGGCGUGCGGGUAACCGUACCGUGGGUUCGAAUCCCACCCUCUCCGCCA